rnacentral:misc_RNA from 1 species
UACAUAUGAACAUAUUGAGAAAUGUCUGAUGCAACUUGGGAAAUCCAAUUAGCUGUAGUUCCAAAGAAGAGUUCCCAAAACCAAAGAUCCAAUGCAAGAACAGAAGAGAAAAUUAGCAGAGCUAAAGUCUGAUAUCGAUUUAGAGGCCAACCUGAGACUUCUGCCAUUUGUUUCAACAAAGGAAGUGAAUUGGUUGUUAGGUUGCGGUUCGUGAUGGACCAGGCAGUUAUCCACUGUACUUCAGAAGGGACAAGGUCAAACUCUUCUCGUAGCCUACGUCCCAAAUCUGGCAUGUGACCGCCACCAUAAAGGAUAGCUAUCUUAUUAUGACCCUCGUUGAUAGCUCUUUGAAGUGCUUCUAAUGCAGCUUUGUUUCUCUCGCCGAUGAUAACAGAUUCCGCCUCUACAUCAGCUGUGACCUGUGUGAAUUCGGAUGUUAGUCGCUUUGCCAGGAAGACCUUCAUUGCAGCACCAAAAUCAAGUCUAGAUAAGGCUUCUAGUUCAGGAUAUUCAGAUGGUUGGCUUUUCACAUCUGUACAAACACCUCCAAUGAUAAGAAGUCCAACAAGAGGCAUCGGCAGCACCCGAGAAGCCCAUAGAAGUUUGGAUCUCCAAGGGUCAAGAUCAUCUGGGAUUGUAGGUUGCACAAGUGCUUUUGUUGAUCUAAGUGUCAUAUCUCUGGCAAAUGUGAACAAGCUCUCGCCUCUUUCAGUCUGGAGUAACUUGAAGGUCUCAAAAUCAAGAUCCGCAUGGUACCAAUUUUCACCCUCAUAAUCAAGACAAUCUAGUUGGAAAUCAAGCGUCAGAAAUCUUGCCAUCUGCCGUUGGAUGAAGCCUAUAAUAUUAAAUCCCUUUGAUCUUGAACUUUUUAGUUUCUUUCUAGAAAUAGAACUUUUUCUACUGUCUAAACUUUCUCUGCUGGCUACCAUCUCAUAGAGAAUGCAAUCAUAUGGUUCAAGUUCCUUUUGUAGGGCGGUGAAGUACUCUUUAUCAGCAAUGUGUAUUGUCGACACCAAAUCAACCUGGAGAAAAGGUUGAAGAAGAGACCAAGGGAACUUCUUCCGGUAAGUAACGACGGCGGUUUGCAAUUCAGCUGUGCUAACGCUAUCAUCAGAGGUGGUUCCUUUUCUGAACCUCAUAAAAUCAGCAAUCGAAUUAUUCUGCAGGAAUUCCUCCGGUGAGUCAUUGUUAUUAUCUAUCAAUACCUGCCUCGAGAAGACGUUGAGCUUCGGAAAACGAGGAAUUCGCCGGAAGGAAAACGACGGGGAAGGUGAAUCGGAGUUGAAAUUCGAAGGAAUUGAAGAUGGAGAUGUUGAAGAGAGUAGAGAGAGAGCGCGAUGAACCAUAGCUCUUCUCUUUUAGAGAGAGAAAGAGAGAA